AAGGAGUUCUGGAAAGUCUACAAAAAUGGACUUCAGGGAGAAAGUAACACAGGACAUAGCUGGUAUUCAUUUUACCUUGCAUUCCCAUUAAUCAUUGGCCUUUUUGUUAUCCUCAUUGUCAUUUUUAUCAUAUGGAGAUGCCUCUUUAAAAAGAAAACGCGUAGACAGUCGGUGUACGUGCAUAGGGGAGCCCACGAAGCGCUGGGUGAUGGUGCUGUGGCUGACGGCAGAGGUCCUCUUCCGCCGCCUCUCAGCAUUGUUCAUUCCCCACAGGAGGAAAUGUAUGAAGUCAGUGGGCUCUCUCCAGGAGGUCUGAGCUUUACGGAUGGACGGUCAGACUCAAUAUCCACAAGGCUCUCAAACUGUGAUCCUCCUCCUUCGUAUGAGGAAGCCACUGGUGAAAUCAGUGUGAGGAGUGAAACUGAACAACAUUUAGAUCCACCCCCGCAGUACGAGGACAUUGUGAAUUCCAGUUUGGCCAGUGCGAUGGCACUGUCUCCUGUUGUCACCAGUACCAAGUAAAGCAAGAAGAAUGCUAU